CUAGAAAUAAAGUUUCAAAAACAAAAAGAUUAAAAUAUAAUGAAGCGGUUCAAAGUGGAAUCAAAUCAAUAUCACCGAAGGGGAUAAUAUUUGACAUAUCACGGUCGGUGCUAAGGAUAAUGAGCUGGUCCGCCUUUUUAUAGUGGAACAAGCAUCAUUUAGCCGCCCUCAAAGUAUAUGGAGAUUUGAUCCUCAUCCCUCCCUUUUGGCGGGUCUUCUCCUGCUUUUGCUCGCCCAUAGAGCUAUCUCAUGUAUUAUUGGGCAAAACUGCGAUAAAGAUAAUCAUUAAAGAGGAAUGAAAACAAAUUAAAGCGAAUCCGAAUACAAAUGAAGUCAAUAUCUGAACAUGGGCUAACUAUAGUAUAAUCAUGAAUAUUCU